rnacentral:rRNA from 1 species
AAUAUGUGGCAUACGGCUCAGUAACACGUAGUCAACAUGCCCAGGGGACGUGGAUAACCUCGGGAAACUGAGGAUAAACCGCGAUAAGUCACUACUUCUGGAAUGGGUAAUGACUUAAAUCUAUAUGGCCCCUGGAUUGGACUGCGGCCGAUCAGGCUGUUGGUGAGGUAAUGGCCCACCAAACCUGUAACCGGUACGGGCUCUGAGAGGAGGAGCCCGGAGAUGGGCACUGAGACAAGGGCCCAGGCCCUAUGGGGCGCAGCAGGCGCGAAACCUCUGCAAUAGGCGAAAGCCUGACAGGGUUACUCUGAGUGAUUUCCGUUAAGGAGAUCUUUUGGCACCUCUAAAAAUGGUGCAGAAUAAGGGGUGGGCAAGUCUGGUGUCAGCCGCCGCGGUAAUACCAGCACCCCGAGUGGUCGGGACGUUUAUUGGGCCUAAAGCAUCCGUAGCCGGUUCUACAAGUCUUCCGUUAAAUCCACCUGCUUAACAGAUGGGCUGCGGAAGAUACUAUAGAGCUAGGAGGCGGGAGAGGCAAGCGGUACUCGAUGGGUAGGGGUAAAAUCCGUUGAUCCAUUGAAGACCACCAGUGGCGAAGGCGGCUUGCCAGAACGCGCUCGACGGUGAGGGAUGAAAGCUGGGGGAGCAAACCGGAUUAGAUACCCGGGUAGUCCCAGCUGUAAACGAUGC